AGCAAAGGAGAGAAAUUCACCUUGGAGCCGAGCCCAGCACUAACCGGCAGGUGGAAUAGGAGUCAGAGUCUCUCAGGACGAACUGAGGUCCAAGGAUCGUCUGCUGCGCCCUAACCGAGGCCCGGGGGCAGGUGGCUCCUGACGGCGCACAGCUUUUGGCGUGGGAGGUGAUCAUUCCUAGGGCUGUUCCUGGCAACUGGAAA
rnacentral:lncRNA from 12 species